UACAGAGGUCUCAAGCGUUGUUCGGAUUCAUUGGGCGUAAAGGGUGCGUAGGCGGCGCGGUAAGUCGGGUGUGAAAUCUUGGAGCUUAACUCCGAAACUGCAUUCGAUACUGCCGUGCUUGAGGACUGGAGAGGAGACUGGAAUUUACGGUGUAGCGGUGAAAUGCGUAGAUAUCGGAAGGAACACCAGUGGCGAAGGCGGGUCUCUGGACAGUUCCUGACGCUGAGGCGCGAAGGCCAGGGGGAGCAAAC
rnacentral:rRNA from 1 species